AACUACAAAAUAAUUCAUGUUUCGGCCAUGAAAAUGGUUAAAUUUUUAACCUUGUAGUUA
rnacentral:tRNA from 1 species